GACGAACCGUCCGAACGUUAUUCGGAAUCACUGGGCUUAAAGGGUGCGUAGGCGGCGCGGAAAGUUGGGUGUGAAAUCCCUCGGCUCAACCGAGGAACUGCGCCCAAAACUACCGUGCUUGAGGGAGAUAGAGGUGAGCGGAACUUAGGGUGGAGCGGUGAAAUGCGUUGAUAUCCUAAGGAACACCGGUGGCGAAAGCGGCUCACCGGAUCUCUUCUGACGCUGAGGCACGAAAGCUAGGGUAGCGAACGGG
rnacentral:rRNA from 1 species